UGUUGAGUUUGAUAAGUUCUUUACAGGUUUUGGAUACUAAGCCUUUAUCAGUGAGCUCCUUCUCAUCCUUGAAGACCCAACUCAAGUGACAACUCUGUGAAGGUCUCUCUCUUGUUUCCUAUGCUAAGCAGCCCCCCAGGGUGCCCUCUCCACCCACCUGCUGAAAGCCAGCAGCUCUUGCCUCCUCCUGCGGGGCUUUUGUUCCCUGUCAAGAAGCAAAGCACCAGUAAGAAAUAAUGUACGGAGCUGUGCGAGGCCAAAGAUGUUCAUCACCAGGUUAUUUAUGACGGUAAAUUUUAAAAUACUUGAAAUAUUCAACAACAGGAGGGGAAUUCACGUAUUUAUGGACUGAGAAGAAAGUCAAGAGUGACAUUUCAAGUUACCUACCAUGUAACUUGAAUUACCAUGGGUAUUUUCUUUGUAGCUUCUUUCUACAUUUUCCAAAUUCUCCACGGUGAGUUCGCAUCCCUUUUGCAAUCAGAAACGCAAUAUUUUGGAUUUUUAAAGAAAAGAAACACAGCCAACCUCCCUUUCUCAUCAUCUCCGUCUUCCACCACCCUGGCUGCCUGUCGCGGGCAGUUUCAUCUCUUCACUACGCUCGUUUUCCAGACAAAAACUCACACUCUGCCUUCUCUGUUUCCACUGAGCGCUCUAGGUCCAUAUGGAAUCAUUGUUUCCACUGGGAGCGGAUUUAGGGACGUAGAAUUUUCAGGUGCUCAAGGCCAUGGGUGGGUGGAGGGAGGGAACACCGGGGGCAAAACUAGACAGAGGCACAACCGGAGCCCCGCAGAUACCGGUGUCACCGUCCCUGCCGGCAGCUGUCCAGCUGAGUUCCCAGUUCCCAGCUUGAGGCCGCCCGAAAGUCAGUAAACAGAUGGAAUGGAAAGUGAGAGGAUGCGAGUGGGGAGGACACCGAGAACCCCCAGCCCACCCCACUCCCAACUGAGGACACCUACAAGUCCCUUCUUUUGUUAUUUAAGGUGACUAGGCCGGAUGCACCGCAUUCUGCUAAUUCAGGCCUGGUUGGCCAGCGUUGACUCAACCUUUCUGAUCCAAGGUCCAGUCGGUGGUGAGAAACUGUAUUCCUGUUUGGGGUUUAGAUAGUAUCCUGGUAGCAGGGGAGUAAGGCUCCUGCAGGCUGCCAUCACCUGCACACAUCCCCAAGGGGAUCAGGGUAAAUCAGGGAUACAGACCGUUAUUUGGCACCUAUUGGAUGGCGUGCCAUCUGGGCAGCCCAGCCCUGGAUAAAAGGGCAGGAGGACGGGCAUGGGAAGGGGCGAGACAGCCCGGGGGACGCUGGGGGUGAGCUCAGUGAGCCAGGCUUGCAGACAUUUGUGAGGACGAAAGCCUGGAGGAUGCCUUCAGGUGGGGCUUCCAGGCCCUGACUGAGCUCCACCCUUGGCUGGCUGCUUCCCGGCCCUGGGGGUCGCCUGGCCGCAGAGGGAAGGGAUGUGAGCGUGAGCGAAGCAACGAGGGACGCAGACUCCGAGGAGCCUCUGCCUGUUGCCUGGAAUACUUAGGGUACCUGAGGGCCAGGCAGUUCGAUGUCCCUGUCAUGUCAGCAAGAGAGGGCUACCGUCUAGUAGCUAGUCGGGCAGGACAAGGACAGGGACAGCGGAAACCAACACGCUUGUGCUCAACCAGGAGCAGACAGCACACCCGCGAGAGAGGGGGCUGCUUUGGGGGUGGAGGGACCAUGCGAGGCGCCCACUCUGGCCGUGGGUUCACUGAGGAAGGCCUCCCUCCCUCGCCGGCCCAUCAGCAGUGGUGGUGCCGGGGAGGGGGAGGCCCGGGCCCUCCCGGCGUGGUGUACCCUGCACUGUAAGGGUACACACUGCACUCUACGAAGUUCCAAGCAAGCAGACACUGGGCGUUUCCUUCACUGCUGUGUCUGAAGCCCCCAGUCAGUGUCGGAAACAUCCCAGAUGCCCGGAAAAUAUUUGCUGUCCAGAGAGAGAAACAAACGAAGUGGGAAACUACAAAUUAGAAAAUCUGCAAGAGAAUCUGCAAUCCUACCUCGCCCGAUGCAGUGUGACCUGCAUUCCAGGGCCUUUCCAAGUGACUUUGGGCAAAUGACUCAGAACCCGGUGUUUUGUUGGGUUUUGCUUUUUCAUCUAUAAGGUAGGGGCAAUAAUACAUUACAGGGCUCCUGAAGGGAUCGAAGGAGAUCAAGUAUACCAGAGUGAUUUGUAAAUUGUAAAGUGUGGAGAUGUUCGCUCUUUUGUGAUGAUGAUACGAUGAGGACAAUACCAGUGACGGUGACAAUGACAGUUUCCCUUAGAAGAAUGUGGGGGGAAAUGGUGAAGGAACUUUAGAGGAUCUAAGGUUGAUAGGUGGGACAGGAGUGAAUAUGUUGAUGGAAAGAAAAGUCCUAGAAACCAGAGACCCCGGUGCCGGAUUUGCUCCAGUGGCUUGUGUAACUAGUCAUCCUUCAUGAACACCACACGAGGGAAGCUCAUUUUAAGGCAAGGAGUAUCUUUGCUUCUGCUUUUCUGUUUUUUCUUUUUUUCCAAUGCAUCUUACAUGGUACAUUGCUCAUUCCAAGUAGAAAACAUUUGUUGGGGGAAGAAAUGGAUGAAUGUGGCGAAGAAGAAAUGAGAAUGUUGGUUAAGCAGAGAUUGCUCCCUGAAAGUAAUUUGUUCAAGCACAAUCAAAACUGAUCUUGUUGGGAUCCCUGAGUGGCGCAGCGGUUUGGUGCCUGCCUUUGGCCCAGGACGCGAUCCUGGAGACACGGAAUCGAAUCCCACGUCGGGCUCCCGGUGCAUGGAGCCUGCUUCUCCCUCUG